rnacentral:tRNA from 1 species
GCUGGAUGGUGCAAUGGUAACACGUUCGCCUUCGAGGUGAGAACGCCCGGGUUCAAACCCCGGGCGCAACG